rnacentral:rRNA from 1 species
AACGAUGGCGGGGUGCCUAAUACAUGCAAGUCGAGCGAUUCCCUUGGGUGCUAGCGGCGGGACGGGUGAGUAACACGUAGGGCAACCCGCCUCUCAGAGGGGGAUAACAUAGGGAAACUUGUUGAUUAUACCCGAUAGCUUUUUGGAUCGCAUUAUGUGAAAAGAAAAGAUGUCUUUUAGCUAUCACUGAGAGAUGGGCCUGCGGCGCAUUAGCUAGUUGGGGGGGUAACGGCCUACCAAGGGGAAGAUGUGUAACCGGCCUGAGAGGGUGGCCGGCCACAGUGGGAAUGAGACACGGCCCAGACUCCUAGGGGAGGCAGCAGUUGGGAAUUUUCCACAAAGGAAGGAAGUAUGAAGGAGCAACGCCGGAUGAACGAAGAAGGUCUUCUGAUUGUAAAGUUCUGUAGUCAGGGACGAACACGUACAGUUAGAAUAGGGCGGUACCUUGACGGUACCUGACGAGAAAGCCACGGCUAACUACGUGCCAGCAGCCGCGGUAAUACGUAGGUGGCAAGUGUUGUCCGGAUUUAUUGGGCGUAAAGCGCGCGCAGGCGUCUAUGUAAGUCUGGUGAUAAAGCCCGGGGCUCAACCCCGGUUCGCAUCGGAAACUGAGUAGCUUGAGUCAGAAGAGGAAAGCGGUAUUCCACGUGUAGCGGUGAAAUGCGUAGAGAUAUGGAGGAACACCAGUGGCAAAGGGGGCUUUUUGGUUUGUAACUGACGUUGAGGCGCAAAAGCGUGGGGAGCAAACAGGAUUAGAUACCCUGGUAGUCCACGCCGUAAACGAGGAGUGGGUAGGUGUUGGGGGGUUUCAAUACCCUCAGUGCCGCAGCAAACCGCUAUUAACCACUGCGCGCUGGUGGA